UGUCUUCAAGCUUUAACUUUGCACUUCUCACCAUUUUAGGUUUUGUCUCGCUGUUGGUUUUACCAUUUUAGAUUUUCUUCAAAGCUUCCACUUUUCUACUUUCACUUUCUAAAUUUUCUUUCAAUAAAAUAUUGUUUAUUUUAUAUGUCAAAAUCAAAUAUUUAGUUUAUAAUCUUUAAUAAAUAUACCAAAACAUCUCCGACCUAAUUGUAUUUUUCGAUAUGUUGUAUGACCAAAUCACGUUGAUGUCAAGUUCGAUGUCCUUCAACAUCGGCAACCUCCAAAUCUGCACGGCAACAUCUUCACGACCGUUAACCAACCAUACUCACCUGAUGCUGAAGGCCAACAACGGCUUCUGGGCACCAUUCGAUCACAAUACUCUGCUCCGCACUUGCUCGCUCCUUCUUGGAUCUCCAUCUUCUUCUGCACCACCGCCAUGCGGUGGCACUAGCAUUUACAUGGGUGCCCACAAGGAUGACUGGAUCAUCACACUCGCCCAGUUUGCAGUAGACCAGCACAAUCACAAAGAGGGUAAGCAUCUUCGAUAUGUGAGGGUGGUGGGGGCAAGCCACAAUACGGUUUCUGGCAUAUUGUACCAUAUUACACUGGAGGCAGUUGAUGCUAAUAGGCCUAAGAUUUACCAUGCAGUUGUUUGGUUGCAGAUAUUAAAGAACUUCAUGGAGUUGCUUGUGUGGAACCCUGUUAACGAUCGCUUGUCGGUUCAUGGUGUUAAAUGUGGUUAUUAAGGAAUGUAUAAAGACUAAAGUAUAAGCCUAAAGAAGUUCCGGUGCUAUUGGUGUUAACCAUUCUGAUAUGGAUGCGUUGGAGGAGAAGAACCUAAGAUUUCUGCAGCAAUGACUUUGCAAGAUUACAGACUGGCUAUGGAUUAACAAGAAUGGUUUGGUGUGUAUGAAUCAAAGCUUUUCACGCACUGAAAUCGUGCCUUAAUCCUGCCGUCAAAACUUGCAUUUGAUAUUGAUAACUGAUUGAUGAUUAUCUAAAGAAAUUGUUCCUCGCGUUCUGAUGGCAUAAUAUUCAUACAUUUUGCUUGAAUAACAACCAUGUUAUCUAAAUCACAAAGACUUGUUAAUAUGGCUACAUAAUAUUCAACUUUGAUCAUGAAAGUGUUAUGAUUAAAGUUCAUCGUUCACAGCCUUCUUCAAUCUAAAGAGUUGAAGGCUGAGAUAUAUUGUAUGGUUUUUGGGUAUAAAGAUUAAUCACGCAUGUUAUGUGAUUCAGUGAUGAACCCUAGCUUCAUGAGUCUCACCACGGUGGAUUCACUACUGGAAUGAACUACAAAAAGUGGAAGCAAGACUUGGAGAUUGUGUUGGAGUUGAGAACACAUUCUUCAAGUCCUGCUUCCACUUUUUGUAGUUGAUUCCAGUAAGUGGUUCCACCGUGUUGAGACUCAUGGAGCUAGGGUUCAUCACCGAAUCACAUAACAUGCGUGAUUAAUCUUUAUACCUAAAAACCAAUAUGUCAUAGCCUUCAUAAUCAAGGUUGAACGAUGAACUUUAAUCAUAAUACUUUCAUAAUCAUAAUCAAGGUUGAUUAUUCUGUAGCCAUAUUAACAAGUUUUUGUCAUUUCGCUAACAUGGUUGUAAUUCAAGCAAAAUGUAUGAAUAAAUAUUAUGCCAUUUAAUAGUAACCACAUUGAUUAGAGAAAAUACAUUUUCCAUACGUAUGUGAAUUCAAAGUCAUGUUUAAACUUAAUUAAGAGAAUAUCGCUUGUAUCGAAACAUUUACUACACCUGACCCAUAAAACACCUAAUAAGGAGAAGAAAGAGUCUAAUUUUCUCAUUGGUGAUGUUUUUCAUUACUCAUAAAUAACUAGAUAAUCAUGUUUAAUUUCACUUAAUCACAUGCAUCUUCAAGUUAAACAAACUUACAACUUUAAUUUUAAGGAAUAAGGGAUAGUUG